CUGCUGGACCGAUCAAUGGAGUUCACUCUCGCUUAAGAUGACGCGUCAGAUAAUUCCACGGCUGUUAUCGAAUCUCGUCGAGGAUGAUUUCGAUUGUUCGCGUAUUAAAACGAGGCUCGUCAUCGGCGGCGAUAUUCGCGUCAAUUUCAGACGACUCGCGAUUUAAUGCGGAUGACAAUCAGCUGAUCGAUGACAGGAUGACGUACUUAUCACGACGAGUUUUUUAGAAAUCCGGCGGAGCUUUCAGCUUCCUGUACAAAUGACUUCAUAAAGGGGAUGUACUCUAUCUCUCUCGUUCAAGCUCGACGAUGAUUAAUGCGCGCUAAUAUCUCGAUCUCGCGAUGAUGACGUUUCGCGAAGUGGGAGAACCUCCGUUGUUUUGCAUUCGAUGCAACGCAGAAUCUUGCGCUGAUUUCAAUUUGUUUAUUCGAAUACGUUUGUUCUAUGACGCAGAAGAGCGCGGGAUCGGGAUCACGUUUCACAAGACGUUACCUACGUUAUCACGCGACGCUCCGAAGACGACUGACGAAAGACGGCAAUGCGUGUGCCGAGCAGAAAUAGAGGGAUGGUGACGCUGCGGGGGAGAGGGGCCGCCAAAGGGAGACGCAAGGGAUGCGCUGUGUCAACCAGAGCGUAACUCUGGAGAGGAGGAGAAAGAGGAAGGGUUGCAGCCUCUCUUCUCUCCGAUCCGGAGCAGAGCAGACGUGUAAAUCAGCAUGCAACAGUCAAUGCAUAAAUGCCACUGUACCCUCGGAUCAAAGAGCAGAAGGGAAAAGAGACUCCCCAUGAAAGCAGCUUGCAUAUAAUGAAUAAUUUUCAAGAUUGAAACCAAUCUCUCAAGAACGUGUGUGAAAUUAUUUUAAUUCUGUUAUAUAAAAAUGAUAUCAAUUUUAAAAAAUUAUAGAAUGUGAUAAACGGACCAAAAAUGAAAGAAUAUUCAUUAAAAUAGAUGAAAUACGAUUGAACGACAUUAUUCUAAACAAUGUAAACAAAUGUUAAUAUAAUCGAUCGUGCAUUCCA